AUUUUGGAUCUGUUAACAUAACAGAACACCUGGGCUGAUUCAGUGUAGGCUUUCACGUGUAUUAUCUCAAUGCUCAAGAGGAGAUUUAUUUAACCUUUAUUUAACUUGGCAAGUCAGUUAAAGAACAAAUUCUUAUUUACAAUGACAGCCUACCCCUAACACGGACGAAGCUAGGCCAAUUGCACGCCGCCCUUAUGGGAUGCCUCUAGCACUGAGAUGCAGUGCCUUAGCCCGCUGCGCCACUCAGGAGCCCCAUAUGGUUGUGUUUCAGUUGAUAUACUAUCUGAUCUAACAUGGAAAAACACAUUUGUUUCUUAGGACUGUAUUUAUGUUUGGAACUUCAGUCGUAAUUGAAUCGUCUCUCUACAUUAUUCCUUAAACUUUGUAACAUGAGAUACUUUACCAAAUACCAGAAAGCUGGAGUGAGUGGCACGUUGUUCUCCAUCACAGCAUUAAGCACGUUGUUCUCCAUCACAGCAUUAAGCAAUUUUCAACAAGUAUUAAGGGGUAUAUUGAUGAUUGGUCUAAUCUUGUUGUCUAAAUGUACCCAUGACCACCAAACUUGUCACCAUAUCCAAUUUAGCCACGGAGAUUAAAACAUUUUGAGUGCUUCAAGCGGACAGUAUUAUGAUUGUGUCUGUCAGUAAAUGCUACUACCAUAUGAGGUGCCAAUGGGGUUUCAAUUCUGGUCAUUUCCCCAAAAUUCCCAGGUUUUCCAGUAAUCCCAUUUUGAAGAUUCCUGAAUUCUGAAGCAAGAAAUCCGGAAUCCUUUUGCCAGAAUUUCUGGGGAAAAUGGUGAAUACCUGAGUAUAGAGUCCAGAUGUAGUAUCACUUUUUCAGAAUUAGAUGUCAACUAACUAUGAUUCUAAUUUCUGUUUGUUGUUUUAAGUCCAAAGUGACAGGCUCACCUGUCUUCCUAACAUGUUACCUUUCCUUGGUUGUCAUUUUAAUAUAUUUGCCUUGAUUAUAGAAUAUAAGUACUACAGUAUUGCUAUACAUUUGUUAAAGUACAGUAACAGUAUAAAGAAAAUGGCCCUGUAUAAAAUGUAAGUAAUUCAGUUGCUAGGCUACAUCUAAUACCAUGGGAUGAUAGUGCAGUAUUGAUGUAUUUUAUUUGUGAUUUUAUACAUUAAUUUAUGAAAUAUGAUUGUGUACUAAUUAUUUUAUUUUAGUAAAUGAGCUUGGUGUAUAAGUUGGAAUUGUCAGCACAUUUCGGGGUUGAAUUUGCACUUUUUAUGCAUUUUAAUUCAUAUGAAUAAAACUUUAUUGAUCAUUAUUUUACAGAGAAUGAGUUUCAAAUUUCAUGGACCAGUCAUGGCAACUGUUC
ensembl:lncRNA